rnacentral:lncRNA from 1 species
GCCUUCUUUUCUUUCGGACGUAUACAGUGCCCUGCGCGCACUCACUUUCUUCUUCACUCAAAAGCACAGACGCUAACACGGGGAGAGAAGAUAUUUUUUAUUACUGAAAUUCGCCCUCAGAAUCAACAAUGAAGAAGAGAGAGCUAUCCAGUACUUUAAAGAACUUGAAGGUAUUUAAAUAUCAGUUUGUUAAUUCUUUUUCUUGUUUAAAAUUUGAAAUCUUAUUCAAUUUAACUGGGUUUUUAUUUAAUUAAUGUGGGUAUUUUUUUAUUCAUAUAAUUAAUAUGGGUUUAAAAUGUAGAUAUUAUUUCGGGACGCUAUGAGCUCAAUAUUAUUACACUUGAUUUCAACUGCUUUUCCUUUUUCAUUUAUGUUUUUUGCAGUUUAUGCAAAGGGCAGCGCAGAAAGAGGAGAAAGGUAAGAAGGAAGAAGAGGUCACACCUGCUGCAGAUUUCCCUUCAUCUGGUAUCCCUAAAAAAUGGUAUUUUCUUUUUAUAUUUCUAUUCUUCUUUUUUUUUUUUGGCCCCCCCCCCCCCUCUUUAGAUUGAAAUUCCAUGUCGAACUAUGUCUUGUAACCUUAUGUUAUCUGGGUGCAUCUAGAUACUGUGUAAUAUGUAUGAUGUGCAGUUAAUAUUUCAUAUAUUUGGUCAUACUUUACUUGAAAACUUUGGUUAAUGGUUGCUCGAAACUCUUUCUUUCUAUGAGUACAAUAGAGAUUAAUUAUACAAAGAAAGCCUCCAUGAUGCAAACGUCAAAAUCAUGUUUCCUGCCAUUGUCGUAAAACGAAGGAAAUUCCAAUUCGAUCAUGUAUAUUAUAGUUUUAACAUACUCGGACUCAUUGAAGCGAGGAGAAGUGAUGAGCUUUGCGGAAAUUUGAUCGUAAUGGAUCUACAUGCUUGUUUGAGUUCGGUGCCAAAUUGUAAAGCUAGGGGCUUCUGCAGUUACAAUGUUUUUCCUAUUUGGUCUAGAUUUGACUCUUAAAAAAUUUGAUCUAUGGUUGUUGUGAUAUGAAGUGAUAGAUGAUGGGGAUGCCCUGACAUAUUUUUGCUUCAGUUUUGAAACUUGAAAUGUGAUUCUUUGAAGGUAACAUUUUUGUUCAAACGGAUGGUAGCCUAUGAUUGGUCCUAGGAACGGAGGAGUGGAACAUUUACGUUAGGGUAAGUAUAUGAGUUUUUUUUUUUUUUUUUUUAACCAGAAAGUAUAUAAGUUUUGAGGGACCUUGUUUGUUACAAGAGACAAGAGUGAGGAGGGGAGGGGAAGGGAAGGGAAGGGAUAAAGAGAACUAGUGGUAGAGGGAGAAAAUUAUUUUUCUUAUGUUAAACCUUGUUCAAUACAGGAAAGAGGAGAGGGAAAGGAGGAGAGAGAUUUAGUGGAAGACAAAGGAAAAUUACUUUUGUUUGUGUUUAAUAGUUACCAUUAUUUCCUCUUUAUUAAAAAUUAUGGUUUAGGCUAUAUUUAAUCUUUUGAGUUGUUUGCCUAGUCUUAAGCCUCCACUUUCUUAGGGAAAGAGCAAAGUUUCACCUUCACUUCCACUUUCUAUCUGCCUAGCCUUCAUUACAGUACACAGAAAUCAGCUUUCAGUAGAUGUGUAAAAUAGUCUCCUCUGGGAUCACAUGUCUUUAUCUAAUUAUUUUUGUUUUUAUAUGUCCUGAAUCAAGUGCUAUAUUGAAAUAUAAAUAUUACUAUUUUCAUUUUAUAAACACAUUCUUUUCUUUAUAAUACCAGAGUUCUCUAUUUUAUUUAUUUUUUUCCCACUUCAUGUUCAAAUGCAGUGUUGUUAUUGUGGAAGGGGAUCCCCAUCCUGUGGCAACAAGUGGUUGGAUGUCAUUUUUAAGUUUUAACCCUUCUAUUGAUGUGAGUGUAAAAGGUAGCAUAAUAUUUAAUUACUCUUAUAAUUUUCUUUUGGCCAUCUCACAUCAGAAGUUUGUUUCGGUAGAAACUCAAUGAAGAUCAUCAACCAGAAGCCUCUACUAUGAAUUCUGGCCGACAAAGCAAAACAAUAUCUAUUAGGUUGCAUUCCCUUACUUUUUGAUCAUUAUUGACACAAUAGAACUUAUUAUGUCUUAAACUUUGUUUUGUUGGUGGACCAAUUUUGCAAAAAAUUGCUUUUUUACCGUCACUUAAGAUUUAACAUGGAUGACAUGAAACUCUCUAUUGUAAUGUUUAUAGGAAAAUGAACACUAAUCGAACUUCAUAUUCUUCCCAUUAACAUCUUCAAUUAAUAAUAGAGCAGUUUUUUGUUAUCACUCAAAAUUGACGGUCAGGAGUUCACAACUUUGGGAGACUAAUCAAAUUAACCAUGAGAUAGUUUUCCCUUUGAUUCUUACUGUACUUGGACUUGAGUAGAAAUUAAUAAUGCAUCUUUGCUUGAUUAUAUAUUGAGCAUUACUUGGGCAAUAAGUAUGGCCCAAGAAUUUAUGGUUUCCUUGAUCUAUCAUUCACUGCAUAUGCCCCCCCCCCACUCCCCACCCCCCCGGGUUUUUUACAGAGAGAAUGGGAAUGUACAAGGUGGGUUAGACAUUUCCGAACCAGAUAGUUUGAGAUAUGAUGAAAAUGGAGACUUUAAAAGGAAGCAACGCAAUGUUGUCUCUGGCACGAUAUAUCCAAAUAAAUCACAGAAAAUUUUUCAAGCCAAUCAACAAUCAUCUCCAAAUGGCAGUCAUAAUUCUCACAAGAAAACCAAGCAUGGAAAGCUGGACUGGAGUGUUCUUCGACCUCCCAAGUAUCAAAACAAAAAGAAAUGAGCGCUAUAGGUGAUUCUUUACAUCGCUUAUUUGUCUCUAAAUGCUUCUAUUUUCUAAACUAAUGGCAUUCCUUCGUCUACCUUAUGUGCAAUAAUGUUGUAUUAGUAUUAGUCACUUUGUAUCAAGUUGCUUAAUUGUUUUAUUGAUUCAUACUCUUCACCUUCGGAAUUUUUGUGACGCCAUGAUAGGAUAUAUUUACAUGCAUUCUUAUUACUUAUUGGUAUAAUUGCAUUUUUAUACAUAACAAUAUUUAACCUGUGCAAUCUAUUUAAUUGAACGUAACUGAGCCUGUUCCUCUGCUGCUUGAUCAAAGUUUACUGUUAUAUUAGAAACUCGACCAAUGUUUGUCUUUUCCAGUGUUCUUAGCUCUAUGAUUUUUCAUGUCAGGCACAUUUUCUUUUUCUUGGUUGAUUUUAUGAUCAUAUUUUCUGCACAAUUAUCAUCUUCCUCUUGCGGGUUUUCCUUUUUCUCAAAUCAUGUGAGAAUGAUGUUAUCUGUGCUCUUUUCUGCUUUCUUCUUCCAAUCAUUUUCUUUGAUUUCAAAUCUUAACUACAAAAGCAUAAUUUGGAAGAAAGCAAUGGCUCUUGCUGCUACUUGACCUCAGCUCCAAAUGGCUUUUCUUAUAAAAAAUUGCAUUCAUCGAAGACUUGCAAAUGCUGAUUGAGUGGCCUAAUGAUUGCAAAUUUGACCGUAGAAUGGACAAGUAUCUUGUGGCUGAACUUGGCAGCAGAUAUUUGAAUCUUUUAAAUUAAGACAUCAACUUGACAGAGUUUUGUUUUAGUUCAGUUUUCAAGUUACAUGGAAUAUAGUUUGUUUAGUUUUGGUUGGCCUUUAAUCCUUCUUUGCCUUCACAUUAUUAUUCGCCUUAGCUGACUCAAACAUUUGACCUUAAUUUGACUUUUACUGAUGCUAUACACCAGCUUUUUUGAGUCCCUAAUGUGCCAUGUCGUUCAAUUUAUUUUAUUUUGGCGAAUCAUAAAAUUAAGAUUAAACAAAGGGGAAAUUACCAUAGCUCAACUAGAAAACACUUAAAACAACAUAGGAUAAUCAUCAGUGGUCAAUUCUUAGCAUCUAUAGAAAUUGUCUAUUUAUUCAUUCUCAUGAGGCCUUCAGCAAGAAAGAGCAUUAAGAACUCUGCCUUUCCAUCCUUGCAGCAUCCACUGGCUAUCUUCAUCCACCAGAAAAUCCUUGUGGUAACCUCUCCGUACUUUAGCCUUGAUUUCUUUGAUGAUAUCAUGGUUCAGUGGCAGCUGCCAGAAUCCAGCCUUCUGAUUCCGAGCUUGCCAUUGCUUGUAAGUUUCUGGUCUCUCGACCUUUUCGAAACCUUCACAUGCUAUUACAUUCAUAACAUCUCGUCCAAACACCUCAAUUUCAUACAGCAGACUUCUUGAUCUUCCUGGGGAAUUGUUGCCUCAAGCAUAUAGAAAAAAGGAGUAAUUGUAUAGUGCUGCUUUGAAUCGUGUUGAAAAGAAUGGGACACUGAAGUUCCAUUAACGAUUCCAUGGACGAAAAGGUCAGGAUUUAUCUUCUUGAUCAAGUUCAAAACUGAAUCCCGUGGACUGUUUACUCCUACGGAUUCAUCAGGCAGAUGUCUUAGCCUGUACAGACAAUUAACCACCAGCAUUUGAUUUCUGUCGAUCUUGAGAUCCUCUAGUCUAAUCGUAUCCCAUUUCUUUCUAUGGCUCCCUUGGCCUUUGGAGAGGAGAAGGCAGCCUUUUUAUUUCUCAUCAAACGAAUGGCAAUUUCUUCUGGUGGGUGACUGAUGGCAAAGUAGUACCGUGAGGGAAGGGUGAAAACAACUCCCAUCGGGGAGUGAAAUGGAAUAUGAAAAAAAAAAUGAGAAUUUACCCCAAGUAAUUGAGCGUGAGAGCCAAAUGAAUCGAAAGAUUCAUGUUUGGUUCGGGACAGCGAUUCAAAGAUUGGGGUCUCACUCUAUUUCCUUGCCAGCCCUAAUAGCAUUCAUGGUCAAAGAUUCGCCGAGCCGAUAGUUCUCGCUCCACUUUUUUCAGCUUAGUUACUCGUUCCUAAGAGCUGAAAAAGAGAUGUAUUAGCUUUUCCUUUAUAAAAUACAUACUCUUAAAAUAGAAAAUAAGACUAUUCGCAACAGAAUCACUUUGUUUCGAUGACAUAUCUAAUUAGACCGAAUAGGAUUUGAAGGGCUGUCACGAUCAUUCACAUAAAUUUCAGCAGGCAGGAAGGGCACGAAAGCUACCCUUUGAUGAAUGCAAGCAAGCUAGCUUGCUUACUCUCCUAUUAGCGUAUGUUGGCGGCAAAAAACAAAGACGACGAUACUAAACUAAAGUAAAGAUAUAGGUUUAGGAAGCUUCCCAGAGUCAGUAGACCAUGUCGGAGUAGGGGAAGAGUUAGAUGAUUGGACUAAACGGAAGAUAUUGUCGAUAAAUAGAAGUACAUCUGCAUAUCUUACCCAGAUUUUCUUCCAUAAUGGUAUGAAACAAUAGUCUCAUUGGAGUAGAUACACAAAUUACUUUAAAUGUAAGAAGCCAAGUAGGCGGGUUUGUCCGAGUGGAGAGGGAAAAAAAAAAAACUAAUAAUCUUUUCUGGAGAUAUCCAUUUCUUCUUUUGGUUGUUUCCAAGUCUUGUGACUGUCAGUUACUCGAAAAGGAAAGUAGGCCCACAGAAUCGCGCUUCGCAAAAGACGGGUAGAUAAAUGAAAAUAAAAAUGCAUAUAGAACGAACAAAUAAUACUCAAUCAUCAAUUUACCCUUAAGAAAAAUAAUCCCCUUUAUUUCUUUUUUGAUAAUGUAACGAAUAAAAGUCUAUGUAAGUAAAAUAUGACUAAAAAAGGUAGUAGUAAUUAAAAAGAACUCAAAGGGAACAUUAAAUCUCUGACAGUAUUUCUGUAGUCGACGUCCUGUCUGCUCAACUCGUUCUGCUGGCUUGAAACCCGACUGAGGAAAAUCUAUUCCUGUAAUGCGAAGUAUGGGAGCUCCCCCUGGUUUCAAGGAAAUGCCCUGGAUAAUGCGAGGCUAUCCUUUUGAAUGGGCAUGCUGCGACAUAUGUCUGAUACACUUUCAGUAGAGAGGAAAUACACGGAAAUGACUUUUGGACUGUAGCAAAUUUUAACAUUAGCCUUUAACCCAUUAAAAAAAUUAAGUUAAAACAUAACUUUACACUAACAGGGCGAUUUUACCCUUCAAGGCUACAGACUGUUUGAAAGUUUCCUCUCUAACCGAUCGACCCAAAAAAAUCGACGCCACAGUUGCAAGAAAAAUCGGUCGAUCAACCAUCGACCGAAACCAUCAACGUCAUAGUGAUUUCAAUCGACGACCAGAAGCACGUAUCUACCACCGAGCGAACUAUUUCGGUUAGUUUUCUCCCAGGAAGUUGUAUUUUUUGUUCCAAUUUUCAUUAAUUGUAUUAUUUUAUGUUUAUUUGAUUUAAUUAGAUGAAGAUGCAUGAGUAGUUAGAUUGUGGGUCAUGCUGGGAUGAAAAAUGUGAAUUUUUUGUAAUUUUUGGAUCUCUCCAUCGUCGGAAAUGCAUUGACUGUUAACAGUCAUGGACUGACUGUUGUUAACAGCCGGCAAUUUUGUUAAAAAAAUAAUAAAAAAUAAAAAAUAAUAUAUAUAUAUAUAUAUAUAUAUAUAAUUUUUAUUUGUUUUUUUAUCAAUUUUUAUAAUAAUUUUUUUAUUUAUUUAAUUAAAUAGUAAUUGUGUUAUUUAUUUAAUUUUUAUAAUUGUCUUUUAUUUAUAUAAUUUAAUAAUUGAAUAUUAUAUAAAAUUAACUAUUUAUUUUGUUCAUUUUUUUUUAUGAAAUAAUCUUUGAUUUUUUUUUUCGAAUUUAUUUAAAUAAUAUAAAUAUUCUUUAAAUUUUUUAAAAAUGUAUUUAAUUUGAAUUUUUUUGUUUUUAAAUUUAUUUUCCAAAUGAUUACAAGAUUAAUUUUCUUUAUAAUUAAUUUAUUUUAAUUUGAUUAAAUAAUAAUUAUGUUAUUUAUUUAUUUAUUUUUUAUAAUUGUCUUUUUUUAUAUAAUUUAAUAAUUGAAUAGAUAAUGUUGUCCAAAAUUAACAAUUUAUUUUGUUCCUUUUAUUUUCUUUUAUGAAAUAAUCUUUGAUUUUUUUCUAAUUUAUUUAAAUAAUAUUUAUAUUCUUUAAUUUUUUUUAAAAAUGUAUUUAAUUUGAGUGUUUUUUUUGUAAAUAUAUUUUUUAAAUGUAAUAUACAAGAUUAAUUUUCUUUAUAACUAAAUUAUUUUAAUUUUUAAAUUUGUAAUGAAUUUAUUUUGUUAUUAACGUCAAUGUCUUGCGUAUUGUAUGGUAGUUAGAAUUCAGUUGCCUUGAUUUUUUGAGAUUAUGCGUUAUUUUAUUAUCUCUUGUUCAAUAUUCUAACAUUUGAAUUUUUGCAGGAUGGAAUAUCAUUUAGAUGGGGAAUUGAAACUAAUGGCGGGGAAAGCUACUUGGAACAGUAGUUUUGAGAGUUUUAUUAUUGUGUUGGAGCUGCUUGAUAAUCAUCACGGAGAUAUGCUACGACAGUCCUUCUUGUGGUCACUGUACCAGAUGCGAGAGGUGCAGUACUCAGGACAGAUCAUCGAUGCACUUCUAUGUCGGCUUCUGAGGCCAGUAGACAGCGAUUCCCUCCACUUCGACCUCGAGGGCAAGGUCGUCAGUUUCUCGAUGUAUGAGUUUAGCUUGAUGGGCGACGAUGGACGACGAUGUAGCCAUUAAGAGAAGUAAUAGGCUGUACGAGACGUACUUCCAGGGACAUGGGUCGAUGCAUCUACCCGAGUUGAUGGUCGCGAUCAGGGGGUGCGACCAGAUGCUAGAUAGAUUGAAGUUUGGGCUGGUCUACAUCCUCGAGAGUGUGAUGAGGUGUCAUCACAAGAAAACUGCUAUCGACAUUUUUCAUUUAGAAGUUGUUGACGAUAUCGAUGCGUUCAACAACUAUCCAUGGGGCCAGAGAUGCUACGAAGAUACCGUACAUGUCUUCACCAGAUCACACUCGAGGUCCAGGGGGUCAAUGCGUAAAUACAAAAUAUAUGGAUUGCCCUUAGCGGUGCAGGUAAAUGUUUAAUAUAAUUAAAGUUAAAGUUUUAAUAUAUUACAUUUAUGCAUAAUAAGUGUAUGUGUUGCAGAUUUGGGUGUAUAAGACAGUCCCUGCACUGGGGGCUCGCUUCGCAAAGGGAGGGGAGACACGCCCUCGAAUGCAUCAUUGGAGAUCGUCACGAGCGGACAGAUGUCCCACUGGGAAACAGUUAUCGACCCUCAUCGACGAUCCUCAGGUAAGUAUUAUGCAUUUGUAAUUUAUAUUAUACGUAGUUUAAAAUCUGUUUACAUGAUCGUUAACUAGUUGAAAUGUCAAUAUGUCAACUUGAAGUCAUACCUGAGUUGACGCCGUCGAUGGAAGAGGAGGCUCGGGGUCUUGUGUGGGAUUUAGGCAUUCCGCACACCCAAAACGAGGAGAUGUCUGAUUCGAUCCUGGACCGAGAUUGGAUAUUUGAAUUAAAUAUAAUUUAUUGAAUAUCGUCGACGUAUAAAUUUAUUGAAUAAUUUUUAAUGUUAUUUAUGUAGGAGGGCGGUCCAACUGAUCGACGAUCACCUCCGUUGAGGGUAUCGCCGCCACCAUUGGCAUCGCCUCCGCCGAGGGCAUAGCCGUCGCCAUUGGCAUCAUGACCGGUUAAGGGUAUCUCCUUAUCCCUCGUCCAGACACGUCCCCCAUGUAUCUCCGACACAUAGUGAUGAUUUGUUUGUCCGUCUGACUGGAUUUAUAGCGAAAGAGGUCGGCGCUCUACGACGAGAGUUGACGGAGAUGGUCGAUGAUCUAGGACGAGAGUUGAUAAGGAGGGUCGACGAUAUGGGACGAGAGUUGACGGGGAGGGUUGACGAUAGCGGCACUUAGAGGAUAUUUAGCCGGUAGGUGAUAGGGGGACAGAGGGGAUGGUGGAGAUGAUGAUUGAGAGGGUGGCAGGGAUAGUGAUGGAGAGGGGGUUAACCCACAUUUUUGGCAUGAUGAGACAUUAUAAUCAUUGUGGUUGUCUAUGAAGGGGGAGAGGGUGGCCCCGAUGGGGGGGCGGGGAGGUGGCAACGGAAGGGGAGACUCCGAUGGGAGGGGCGGAUGAGGUGGCGACGGAGGAGGUGGUUUCGGAGGUCGAGAGGACGCCCGUCGUGAUUGAGGGUAAAAGACAUGCUAUUGAUGAGACGGAGCAGGUGGUCGACAAGAGGUUGAGAGUGCCGUCAUAGUAUGUUGUUUUCCCCUUCACGGCUGAGGUCAAGAGGAAACGUUCAUCGAUGGGACGCACUCGAACUUAUUUAGGGAGGUGGACAACGGCAAAUGAAAAGUGUUCGAGACGGAGUGGAGGAGAAUUAUCCCCGGGUAAAUAUUGUACACUGACUUGUCUAUGUUUGUUUUAACAUUUCCAUGUUCUUUCAGAGUUAGCCACACGAUAGGUAACUGGACGGUCUCGGACCCGUACAAGUGGUUCCACGAUAUCACCAUUUCGAAAGCUUGGCUCGCCGAUGAUGUAAGUAAACUAUUCAUUUUGUGUUUUUUAUGUACAUGUCACUUUGUGUUUAUUAAAUGAACAACUCAUACUUUUUUGGUGUUUUUUAAUUCAGCACAUCGACCUAACCAUGGACUUGCUGCAAGAUUGAGCUCAAAGACAUCCAAAACCAUUUGACGUCCAUGGUCGAGUCAUAUUAAACACCGAGUUCCUGCGUGUCGUUACCAUAGAGUAUCAGUCGCUCCAACUUAUGGGUAACGAGUAUACGGUAUCAGAAUAUAUGCUCGAGUAGGUUAUAGGAAUGUCGCCGAGUGUCGGGGGAAAAUCAUGGGAGGGUUGUACACUUAUGUACAUUGCAGCGUGCAUCGAUAAGCACUAUGUUAUGCUGGAGAUCGUUUUUUGCUGACACGACUAUAUAUGUGUACGACUCAAAUCAUUCAUAUUUGAUACAAGGCUAGCUGGAGCAAAACUUGGAGUCCGUAGCUAUAAUUGUUCCUAUGAUGGCCAGAUGAGCGGGGAUGAUUGUACCGAGCAUAUUGCGAAUUGUUCGGAACACGAUGACAGCGCGACAGUCCAUAAGAUAAGUGUUUGAACUUUAUUGUUUUCAUCUUUCAGAUUUAGUUUUUUAGCUACACAGUACCGAACUGAUCCAUUCUUGUUCAAUUGUAGCUGCAACUGCAGCAUAUUUGCUAUUAAGUACGUUGAAUUUUUAAGUAUAGGAUAUAAGGUUGAUGAAAUCAACCAAUCGUGAAUACAGAACUGGAGAAAGGAGUUAGCUUGUGAUUUGUUUGAAUUUAAUGUAACCCGUAAAUUUGUGUUAAAUAUAUGUAACGUUCGAAUUGUAGAUUUAAUUAUUUUUUGUGAUUAUGAAAUAAUUGUAAAUUUGUGUUCAAU